rnacentral:rRNA from 1 species
AUGAAUGAAAGCUUCUACCCGAUCAUGUCGUGGAAUGUCCGCGGCCUCAACUAGCUGGUGAAACGCGCGGCGAUUUGCGAGGUAGUUAUGGCGAACAAAGUGGCAAUCCUUUGCCUACAGGAAACUAAGAUAGAUGUCUGGACUCCGAGCAUAGUCAGGGAGAUCGGGGGCGCUGCUCUUUCCGAAUGUGUCGUCCUCCCUGCAAUAAGCUCCCGCGGUGGAGCUGCAAUCUUCUAGAACAAUGAUGUUGUCAACAUAGCUUCUCAUGUUAUAGGCGAGUCCACGAUCACUGCUAAAGUGACACUUCUCUAG